AGCGAACGCUGGCGGCAGGCCUAACACAUGCAAGUCGAGCGAACUCUUCGGAGUUAGUGGCGGACGGGUGAGUAACCCGUGGGAAAGUGCCUUUUGGUUCGGCAUAACUCAGGGAAUCUUGUGCUAAUACCGAAUGUGCCCUUCGGGGGAAAGAUUUAUCGCCAUUAGAGCAGCCCGCGUCUGAUUAGCUAGUUGGUGAGCUAACGGCGCACAACGGCGACGAUCAGUAGAUGGCUAGAGAGGAUGGCCAGCCACACUGGGAGUGAGACACGGCCCAGACUCCUACGGGAGGCAGCAGUGGGGAAUCUUGCGCAGUGGGGGAAAUCCUGACGCACCCAGGCCGCGAGAAUGAUGAAAGUCGGAGGGUUGUAAAAUUCUUUCACCGGUGACGAUAAUGACGGUACCCGGAGAAGAAGCCCCGGCUAACUUCGUG
rnacentral:rRNA from 1 species